rnacentral:rRNA from 1 species
UACGUAGGGGGCUAGCGUUGUCCGGAUUUAUUGGGCGUAAAGAGCGUGUAGGCGGCCAGAUAGGUCUGCUGUGAAAACUCGAGGCUCAACCUCGAGCUGUCGGCGGAAACCAUCCGGCUAGAGUCCGGAAGAGGAGAGUGGAAUUCCUAGUGUAGCGGUGAAAUGCGUAGAUAUUAGGAGGAACACCAGUGGCGAAGGCGACUUACUGGACUGUAACUGACGCUGAGUCACGAAAGCGUGGGUAGCAAACAGG